UUCGUGGAACACUGGAACAGAUUUCCCAGAGAGGUGGUGGAUGCCCCAUCCCUGGGCACAUUCGAGGUCAGGUUGGAUGAGGAUCUGAGCAGCCUGGUGUGGUUGAAGAUGUUGCUGCUCACUGCAGCAGGAGAACCAUCAAAAGGAUUUAAUACUGAGCUGCUCUUCUAACAACCCCACAUUAGAGCCUGCAGCCCCUCCAUGGCUGGACUGAACCUUUCCCCAGCCACCGGCUUUUCCUGGGGCCUCAUUACGAAGGGCAAUCUCCUGCUGUUGGGAUUAUUUUUGGUUUAACUCUGACGUUGAUGUUGCAAUGCUCUUUGAUAGCCAAGAACACAAGGACUGACUUCAGGAGCAGCUGAAACUUCAUCAGGAGCUAAAAUAUAAGAAGAAGGGAUGCGAGUGGGGACUGGUAGAAAGUGAUACUGUUGAAACAACCCUUUGAAAUUUCCCAAAUGAUGUUU